rnacentral:rRNA from 1 species
GAUGAACGCUGGCGGCGUGCCUAACACAUGCAAGUCGAGCGAUCUUCUUCGGAGGAGAGCGGCGGACGGGUGAGUAACGCGUGGGUAACCUGCCCUGUACACACGGAUAACAUACCGAAAGGUAUGCUAAUACGAGAUAAUAUACUUUUAUCGCAUGGUAGAAGUAUCAAAGCUCCGGCGGUACAGGAUGGACCCGCGUCUGAUUAGCUAGUUGGUAAGGUAACGGCUUACCAAGGCGACGAUCAGUAGCCGACCUGAGAGGGUGAUCGGCCACAAUGGAACUGGGACACGGGCCAAACUCCUACGGGAGGCAGCAGUGGGGAAUAUUGCACAAUGGGCGAAAGCCUGAUGCAGCAACGCCGCGUGAGCGAUGAAGGCCUUCGGGUCGUAAAGCUCUGUCCUCAAGGAAGAUAAUGACGGUACUUGAGGAGGAAGCCCCGGCUAACUACGUGCCAGCAGCCGCGGUAAAAC